CCAGACUCCUACGGGAGGCAGCAGUGAGGAAUAUUGGUCAAUGGCCGAGAGGCUGAACCAGCCAAGUCGCGUGAGGGAAGACGGCCCUACGGGUUGUAAACCUCUUUUGUCGGGGAGCAAAGCGAACCACGUGUGGUUCAUUGAGAGUACCCGAAGAAAAAGCAUCGGCUAACUCCGUGCCAGCAGCCGCGGUAAUACGGAGGAUGCGAGCGUUAUCCGGAUUUAUUGGGUUUAAAGGGUGCGCAGGCGGAAUGUCAAGUCAGCGGUAAAAUUUCGGGGCUCAACCCCGUCGUGCCGUUGAAACUGCAUCCCUUGAGUGCGCGAGAAGUAUGCGGAAUGCGUGGUGUAGCGGUGAAAUGCAUAGAUAUCACGCAGAACUCCGAUUGCGAAGGCAGCAUACCGGCGCCCUACUGACGCUGAGGCAUGAAAACGUGGGUAUCGAACAGGAUUAGAUACCCCCGUACC
rnacentral:rRNA from 1 species